rnacentral:rRNA from 1 species
AGUCUGAUGGAGCAACGCCGCGUGAGUGAAGAAGGGUUUCGGCUCGUAAAGCUCUGUUGGUAGUGAAGAAAGAUAGAGGUAGUAACUGGCCUUUAUUUGACGGUAAUUACUUAGAAAGUCACGGCUAACUACGUGCCAGCAGCCGCGGUAAUACGUAGGUGGCAAGCGUUGUCCGGAUUUAUUGGGCGUAAAGCGAGUGCAGGCGGUUCAAUAAGUCUGAUGUGAAAGCCUUCGGCUCAACCGGAGAAUUGCAUCAGAAACUGUUGAACUUGAGUGCAGAAGAGGAGAGUGGAACUCCAUGUGUAGCGGUGGAAUGCGUAGAUAUAUGGAAGAACACCAGUGGCGAAGGCGGCUCUCUGGUCUGCAACUGACGCUGAGGCUCGAAAGCAUGGGUAGCGAACAGGAUUAGAUAUCCUGGUAGUCCAUGCCGUAAACGAUGAGUGCUAAGUGUUGGGAGGUUUCCGCCUCUCAGUGCUGCAGCUAACGCAUUAAGCACUCCGCCUGGGGAGUACGACCGCAAGGUUGAAACUCAAAGGAAUUGACGGGGGCCCGCGCAAGCGGUGGAGCAUGUGGUUUAAUUCGAAGCAACGCGAAGAACCUUACCAGGUCUUGACAU